rnacentral:misc_RNA from 1 species
AAGUCGUAACAAGGUCUCCGUAGGUGAACCUGCGGAGGGAUCAUCAUUGAAAAACAUAACCAAGGAAAGCUAGAAGAAAGAUUCUUUCUUUCUUUCUUUCUUUCCUUCAAACAAACGAUCGCAACAACCUGAGAGAUUUGACUUGACUUGACUUGGCUUUUGAUAAGGAGGAAAAGUGUUUGCCUGAAAACUGGAUACAGCCAUAUCAUGGUUUGGUUGGUUGGCUGGCUGGAGUGGAACUGAAAAAAAUACAACUUUCAACAACGGAUCUCUUGGCUCUCA